rnacentral:rRNA from 1 species
GAUGAAUGCUGGCGGCGUGCCCAACACAUGCAAGUCGAGCGGUAACAGGAGUAGUUUACUACUUGCUGACGAGCGGCGGACGGCUGAGUAACGCGUGGGAACGUGCCCCAAAGUGAGGAAUAACUGCCCGAAAGGGUAGCUAAUACCGCAUAUGAUCUUCGGAUUAAAGGAUUUAUCCGCUUUGGGAGCGGCCCGCGUCGGAUUAGGUAGUUGGUGAGGUAAUGGCUCACCAAGCCCACGAUCCGUAGCUGGUCUGAGAGGAUGAUCAGCCAGACUGGAACUGAGACACGGUCCAGACUCCUACGGGAGGCAGCAGUGAGGAAUCUUCCACAAUGGGCGAAAGCCUGAUGGAGCAACGCCGCGUGCAGGAUGAAGGCCUUCGGGUCGUAAACUGCUUUUAUAAGUGAAGAAUAUGACGGUAGCUUAUGAAUAAGCACCGGCUAACUACGUGCCAGCAGCCGCGGUAAUAC